rnacentral:rRNA from 1 species
AGCAGUCGCCGCGGUAAUACGUAGGUCCCGAGCGUUGUCCGGAUUUAUUGGGCAUAAAGCGAGCGCAGGCGGUUAGAUAAGUCUGAAGUUAAAGGCUGUGGCUUAACCAUAGUACGCUUUGGAAACUGUUUAACUUGAGUGCAAGAGGGGAGAGUGGAAUUCCAUGUGUAGCGGUGAAAUGCGUAGAUAUAUGGAGGAACACCGGUGGCGAAAGCGGCUCUCUGGCUUGUAACUGACGCUGAGGCUCGAAAGCGUGGGGAGCAAACAGGAUUAGAUACCCGAGUAGUCCCUGUCUCUUAUACA